CUUACCUGGUCCGGUAUCUCGGAGAAUAGGCUUUCCGUGUUCAACAAAGCUUGUCGACUCGAGGUUAGAUCCGGUGGUUCUUCUUGUAACAAGAAGCUAUGCAUGAUGAUUUUAUCCUCCUCGGGAAUAGAUUUGAACAUUAAGGGCUCUGGAUUUUUCUGCUUGGCAUCAUUUGUUGUUGAUGCCUCUUUUGGUUCCGCAUGUAUCUCCUUAUCACCUAUAUUUGUUUCAACACUUUUGGCAAAAGACAAGUGUAUUAAAGCAGUCAUGGGAACUUCAUAAACAAAAUGAAACGAGUUACUAUGAACCUUUAUAGUUUUA
rnacentral:lncRNA from 1 species